AACUUAGCUUGCUAAGUUUGAUGGCGACCGGCGCACGGGUGAGUAACACGUAUCCAACCUGCCGAUGACUCGGGGAUAGCCUUUCGAAAGAAAGAUUAAUACCCGAUGGCAUAGUUCUUCCGCAUGGUAGAACUAUUAAAGAAUUUCGGUCAUCGAUGGGGAUGCGUUCCAUUAGGUUGUUGGCGGGGUAACGGCCCACCAAGCCUUCGAUGGAUAGGGGUUCUGAGAGGAAGGUCCCCCACAUUGGAACUGAGACACGGUCCAAACUCCUACGGGAGGCAGCAGUGAGGAAUAUUGGUCAAUGGACGAGAGUCUGAACCAGCCAAGUAGCGUGAAGGAUGACUGCCCUAUGGGUUGUAAACUUCUUUUAUACGGGAAUAAAGUGAGGCACGUGUGCCUUUUUGUAUGUACCGUAUGAAUAAGGAUCGGCUAACUCCGUGCCAGCAGCCGCGGUAAUACGGAGGAUCCGAGCGUUAUCCGGAUUUAUUGGGUUUAAAGGGAGCGUAGGCGGACGCUUAAGUCAGUUGUGAAAGUUUGCGGCUCAACCGUAAAAUUGCAGUUGAUACUGGGUGUCUUGAGUACAGUAGAGGCAGGCGGAAUUCGUGGUGUAGUGGUGAAAUGCUUAGAUAUCACGAAGAACUCCGAUUGCGAAGGCAGCC
rnacentral:rRNA from 1 species